AGCGAACGCUGGCGGCAGGCUUAACACAUGCAAGUCGAGCGGGCAUAGCAAUAUGUCAGCGGCAGACGGGUGAGUAACGCGUGGGAACGUACCUUUUGGUUCGGAACAACACAGGGAAACUUGUGCUAAUACCGGAUAAGCCCUUACGGGGAAAGAUUUAUCGCCGAAAGAUCGGCCCGCGUCUGAUUAGCUAGUUGGUGAGGUAAUGGCUCACCAAGGCGACGAUCAGUAGCUGGUCUGAGAGGAUGAUCAGCCACAUUGGGACUGAGACACGGCCCAAACUCCUACGGGAGGCAGCAGUGGGGAAUAUUGGACAAUGGGCGCAAGCCUGAUCCAGCCAUGCCGCGUGAGUGAUGAAGGCCCUAGGGUUGUAAAGCUCUUUUGUGCGGGAAGAUAAUGACGGUACCGCAAGAAUAAGCCCCGGCUAACUUCGUGCCAGCAGCCGCGGUAAUACGAAGGGGGCUAGCGUUGCUCGGAAUCACUGGGCGUAAAGGGUGCGUAGGCGGGUCUUUAAGUCAGGGGUGAAAUCCUGGAGCUCAACUCCAGAACUGCCUUUGAUACUGAAGAUCUUGAGUUCGGGAGAGGUGAGUGGAACUGCGAGUGUAGAGGUGAAAUUCCUAGAUACUCGCAAGAACACCAGUGGCGAAGGCGGCUCACUGGCCCGAUACUGACGCUGAGGCACGAAAGCGUGGGGAGCAAACAGG
rnacentral:rRNA from 1 species